CUGGUGUCAGCCGCCGCGGUAAUACCAGCACCCCGAGUGGUCGGGACGAUUAUUGGGCCUAAAGCAUCCGUAGCCGGUCCUACAAGUCUUCCGUUAAAUCCAGCUGCUUAACAGAUGGGCCGCGGGAGAUACUACAGGGCUAGGAGGCGGGAGAGGCAAGCGGUACUCUAUGGGUAGGGGUAAAAUCCGCUGAUCCAUAGAAGACCACCAGUGGCGAAGGCGGCUUGCCAGAACGCGCUCGACGGUGAGGGAUGAAAGCUGGGGGAGCAAACCGGAUUAGAUACCCGGGUAGUCCCAGCUGUAAACGAUGCAGACUCGGUGAUGGGCUGGCCUCGCGCCAACCCAGUGCCGCAGGGAAGCCGUUAAGUCUGCCGCCUGGGGAGUACGGUCGCAAGACUGAAACUUAAAG
rnacentral:rRNA from 2 species